GUUGAUUUUUCACAUUAAACUAAUUUUUAUUUUCAUUUUUCACGUGACUCAAAAAAUUUUUCAUCUGAAUUUUGAUAGAAAAUAAAGAUAGACAUAAAGUGAUAUACUCUGUCCUAUGUUUGGUAUUACACAUAAACUUCGUGUUUUGUUAAUGUAUUUGUUUUGGAGCCCGGUGCUGAGACUGACUGUGAUGGCAUAGCAUCGAGAAUCUUUUGCCUGGUUUCGGGAUCGGAAGAGUUGGUAUUUUGUGCGUUAUUCUCAUCUUCCAGCUUUCCCAGUUCUGAAUAUGAACUCGACUUGUGGAAAGGGAAAGUAGUGACGACUGUGGUGUGCAUAUCAUCACUUAGGUCACUUUUCGGUGUACUAAACAUCGUGGUAAUGGCUAGAGGCUUGUCAUUUUCUUCUGGUCUUUUGUUAAGCGGUACAUUUGUACUAGUGUCUUUGACAACGGAAGUGUGAUUGGCGUGCCCAUCCCUGUAUUCUUCAACGUACUUGGAAGGACUGACUUAGCGAGAGCUGCAGUGGUAGGAUGAUUUGCCUGUAAUGUGCUAUUUACUGAAGCGGACUCCAUUUCCUUG